GACGAACGCUGGCGGCGUGCUUAACACAUGCAAGUCGAACGGAAAGGCCCUGCUUUUGUGGGGUGCUCGAGUGGCGAACGGGUGAGUAACACGUGAGUAACCUGCCCUUGACUUUGGGAUAACUUCAGGAAACUGGGGCUAAUACCGGAUAGGAGCUCCUGCUGCAUGGUGGGGGUUGGAAAGUUUCGGCGGUUGGGGAUGGACUCGCGGCUUAUCAGCUUGUUGGUGGGGUAGUGGCUUACCAAGGCUUUGACGGGUAGCCGGCCUGAGAGGGUGACCGGCCACAUUGGGACGGAGAUACGGCCCAGACUCCUACGGGAGGAAGCAGUGGGGAAUAUGGCACAAUGGGCGGAAGCCUGAUGCAGCAACGCCGCGUGCGGGAGGGCGGCCUUCGGGUUGUAAACCGCUUUCGCCUGUGACGAAGCGUGAGGGACGGGAAUGGGUAAAGAAGCACCGGCUAACUACGG
rnacentral:rRNA from 1 species